rnacentral:rRNA from 1 species
CAGUAGCCACGGUAAUACGUAGGUGGCAAGCGUUGUCCGGAAUUAUUGGGCGUAAAGCGCGCGCAGGUGGUUUAAUAAGUCUGAUGUGAAAGCCCACGGCUCAACCGUGGAGGGUCAUUGGAAACUGUUAAACUUGAGUGCAGGAGAGAAAAGUGGAAUUCCUAGUGUAGCGGUGAAAUGCGUAGAGAUUAGGAGGAACACCAGUGGCGAAGGCGGCUUUUUGGCCUGUAACUGACACUGAGGCGCGAAAGCGUGGGGAGCAAACAGGAUUAGAUACCCCGGUAGUCCCUGUCUCUUAUAC